UCUUUAAUAUCAGCUCUGGAUAUGUGGAGGAUACUCUCCUCCUAUCACACAUAAUUGUACAAAAAGGUCUUUUUGUUUACACGCAUUCAGAGGCCUUCCCAGAGGUAUGUACAUAUUCCAUACAAAGACUCCCCAAACCUUCCUCAUCCAUACAAAGGCUCGGGAACCACAAGGUUAUGCAUUACAGGACUUAGCAAGCUGCAGCUUGCAUCAAUCUCAGCCUGCCACCACUCCUGGUGGCUCUCAAAGCAGUGCAAACCACAGCAGCAGCACAAUGCCUUCAGCAGGACAGAGCCCUGCAGCACGUCCUGGCACGGCUGCACGGCUGUGCACCCAACAAGAACAUUUUUGCAGAGCUCCACAAGGGCUCACACUGUUGCAUCCCUUGCUCUAGAAAGUGCUCAGCCAUCAGCAGUGCUUUCUGUUGGCCCCUGGGAGCUGAGUUUGAGUUCCCAACAGGAGCGGAGGAAAAAGGCAGCGGGUGUUGUUUCUUCCAUCCCCCCGCACAGAGCUGGCAGCUCUCCUGCCUCUCUUAUCUUCCACCGAACACAGCACUGAAUGAGCAUUUUCCAGCAUGUGAGUUGCAGCUGGAGGCCUGUGUGUAAAUAAUAAAUGCAUAAACAGAGAAGGAGCAAAGCAUGAGGCCAGGGGAUGAACCUCGGCGUAAUUGGAAGGAUGGCGUUCGGCGGGCAGGAGGGGAGCGCGGCGCUUUAAGCGGAAUACAAAUACCUGAGUAUCCCAGCUCCACAAACAUUAGCACCGUCAACUUUUUCUGGCAAGAACGCUCGCAGUGGGAGACUUCAACAGCUGAUUCGUUGAGGAUCUGCAGGAAAGAGAGUUCUGAAGGCAAACGCGAUUGCUUCCCAUCCGACAGCAGCAUGAAUCCACCCAUGCUCAGGGGAAAUGAUUGAAUUCUCCUCCUUUACUGGGAGAGCAGUGUACUCUCCUUGAAGCCACAACAGAAAUCCUGCUUCAAACCAUGCCAUGUUUUCUUCUCCCUCCAUCAGAACUGAAUUGUUUCUCCCAGGCUGGUCAGUGAGCUCAGCGCAUCUCUGGUCCCAUCCAUGCCCAGUGCAAAGAGAGACUGCGAAGAGAGGCUGCCCUGAGCCACAGUGCCUCUGCAGAGCGCCCUGCACAGGGCUGAGCAGCCGUAAUUACAGCUCUUCAAAGGCCUGGCUCUCUGGGCAAUCUAGCGUGGCCAAAUCUGUGUUGUUUUUAAUUAAAAGUUUCAGAAAGUCAGGCCUGUUAGGUCAAAGGAAUGCUCUAUUGCUCCGGCCCAUCUUCUGCUUGGAAAUUGUUUAGCUGGGCAUAUUUUUCCCCCUUUUUAAUUAAAGCUGAAUUAAAAUACAGGUUAUUUGGGAGUGGAGCUAAUGACCAUGAAACCCAGUUUGCAUUUGCUGAACCUUGUACCCUGUGCCACGGGUCCGAUGACUCCAGCAGAUGGGUCCAGCACAGGGAUGCUGCCAUCUCCCCAGGUCCCAUUACCAGCGCUCAGCCCAGGGCUGCUGUCCCUGCCCAUGCUGUGCUCAUGGCGCUGCAACGGCUGCGUGGGAAUGUGGGGUCCUGGUGAUGAGCGGCUCCCUCACAGACACAGUCAUCCACAAAUCCACCCCACGCUCUGCUCAUGAUGAGGGAUGUCAGGCAGCGUUAUAGAAGCAGUUACUUCAUUUGGGGUAAAAGGCACACGUGAAAAAACCCUACACGCAGAGAAAGCGUUUUCAUUCAGCUUGUGGAGCAUCUCCCCCAAUGCAGAGCACAUUGGCUGCUGUUAUUUGCAGUUCUGAUCCUGGCGCUUGUGGGAAUUAAUGGCUGUAGGUUUUGAAAUGCAAUUAUAGGCUUUGCAGUGGUAAUUUUGUUUUUAUUUCCCACUGCGUUUGCUGUUGCUCUGCGGAGAGGAGAGGCUUUAGUUAAAACUCAUGUAGCACAAGCGUACCUACAAUUUGUUUGCUUUUUCUAGAAACUUUUUCCUUUCCCUUUGUGGGCUGUCAGUCCAUGGGAUGUUUUGUUUCCUUCUCAACACAAA